UAUAUUGGGGAAUAUAUUUGGGAUCCUUGGUUCUUUUCAUGGUUGGGGAGGAUGGUCAUCUUGGGGUAAGUGUUCAUCUACCUGUGGAGUGGGAUACCAAACCAGACAAAGACACUGUCACACCCAUCAUCAUCACCACCACCACCAUAACACUUGUCCUCCGGGAGGAACUACAUAUCAAGUAUGCUGGACACCAUGUAGAGGUGGUUGGAGUCCUUGGAGUAGUAGUCCAUGUAGUAAAUCUUGUGGGGGAGGUGUGGCUACAAAAUACCGUACCUGUACCAAUCCGAUUCCUUUGUUUGGAGGACAAGGAUGCAGAGGAAAAUCAGUGCAAAUAGUGUCCUGCAACACUCAUUCAUGUGCAGUAAAUGGUGCUUGGUCUAGCUGGCAAAGUCCUUCUCACUGUACUGUUUCCUGUGGAGGAGGUGUAAGAAUACGAACCAGAACAUGUAACAAUCCCAAACCAUCUAAC